AGUGAACGCUGGCGGCGUGCUUAACACAUGCAAGUCGAACGAGAACGGAUUAUAGCUUGCUAUAAUUGUCAGCUAAGUGGCGCACGGGUGAGUAAUGUAUAGGUAAUAUGCCUCUUACUAAGGGAUAACAAAUGGAAACGUUUGCUAAUACCUUAUACUCCUUAUUAACAGAAGUUAAUAAGGGAAAGAUUUAUUGGUAAGAGAUUAGCCUGUAUUGUAUCAGUUAGUUGGUGGGGUAAUGGCUUACCAAGACUAUGACACAUAACUGGUUUGGGAGGAUGAUCAGUCACACUGGAACGGAGACACGGUCCAGACUCCUACGAGAGGCAGAAGUGGGGAAUAUUGCACAAUGGACGGAAGUCUGAUGCAGCAACGCCGCGUGGAGGAUGACACAUUUCGGUGCGUAAACUCCUUUUAUAUGAGAAGAUAAUGACGGUAUUAUAUGAAUAAGCACCGGCUAACUCCGUGCCAGCAGCCGCCGCCGUAA
rnacentral:rRNA from 1 species